UGGCUACCUAGAUCCAAGUGAAUCAGGACACUAACUUCUCUCCAAGAUCUUUUACACUUGUGAAACGGCACAGCUCUCUAAACCAAACACUGACAGCAGUUUAAUUUUACAGAUAUAAAAAAAAUCCGAGUCAGAGAAAUCAUCACGAUGAAGUCAGAGGCGAGAAACUGUCAGUGUAUACAGAGUCUUGCUCUGUCGCCCAGGUUGAAGUGCAGUGGUUCGAUCUCGGCUCAAUGCAACCUCUACCUCCCUGGCUCCCGCGAUUCUCCUGCCUCAGCCUCCUGAGUAGCUGAGAUUACAGGCGCCCGCCACCACCCCCGGCUAAUUUUGGUAUUUUUAGUAGAGAUGGGGUUUCACCAUGUUGGCCAGGCUGAUCUGGAACUCCUAGCCUCAAGCAAUCCGC
rnacentral:lncRNA from 10 species